rnacentral:rRNA from 1 species
CAAUAGCGUAUAUUUAAGUUGUUGCAGUUAAAAAGCUCGUAGUUGGAUUUCGGAUGGGACUUGCCGGUCCGUCGUUUCGAUGUGCACUGGCCAGUCCUAUCUUGUUGUCGGGGACUAGCUCCUGGGCUUCACUGUCCGGGACUAGGAGCUGACGAGGUUACUUUGAGUAAAUUAGAGUGUUCAAAGCAAGCCUACGCUCUGAAUACAUUAGCAUGGAAAAACACGAUAGGACUCUGGCUUAUCUUGUUGGUCUGUGAGACCAGAGUAAUGAUUAAGAGGGACAGUCGGGGGCAUUCGUAUUUCAUUGUCAGAGGUGAAAUUCUUGGAUUUAUGAAAGACGAACUUCUGCGAAAGCAUUUGUCAAGGAUGUUUUCAUUAA